rnacentral:ncRNA from 2 species
AUGUUAUCAAGAAAGGUAGAGGGAUUAGACCCAAUGAAGCCUUGGCAACCCUUUACAUGUCCCCGAUGCCUAUUGGGGCAUUAAAGAAGGUGCUACGUUCUACUAGAAUCAAAAAGAUACUAGAAAGAUAACGA